CACGUAGGGUGCGAGCGUUGUCCGGAAUUAUUGGGCGUAAAGAGCUCGUAGGUGGCUUGUCACGUCGGGUGUGAAAGCUUGGGGCUUAACUCCAGGUCUGCAUUCGAUACGGGCUGGCUAGAGGUAGGUAGGGGAGAACGGAAUUCCUGGUGUAGCGGUGAAAUGCGCAGAUAUCAGGAGGAACACCAGUAGCGAAGGCGGCACUCUGGGCCGGUACUGACGCUGAGGAGCGAAAGCGUGGGGAGCGAACAGG
rnacentral:rRNA from 1 species